GAUGAACGCUGGCGGCGUGCCUAAUACAUGCAAGUCGAGCGAACGGACGCGAAGCUUGCUUCUCUGAUGUUAGCGGCGGACGGGUGAGUAACACGUGGAUAACCUACCUAUAAGACUGGGAUAACUUCGGGAAACCGGAUCUCAUACCGGAUAAUAUUUUGAACCGCAUGGUUCAAAAGUGAAAGACUGUCUUUCUGUCACUUAUUGAUGUAUCCGCGCUGCAUUAGCUAGUUGGUAAGGUAACGGCUUACCAAGGCAACGAUGCAUAGCCGACCUGAGAGGGUGAUCGGCCACACUGGAACUGAGACACGGUCCAGACUCCUACGGGAGGCAGCAGUAGGGAAUCUUCCGCAAUGGGCGAAAGCCUGACGGAGCAACGCCGCGUGAGUGAUGAAGGUCUUCGGAUCGUAAAACUCUGUUAUUAGGGAAGAACAUUUGUGUAAGUAACUGUGCACGUCUUGACGGUACCUAAUCAGAAAGCCACGGCUAACUACGUG
rnacentral:rRNA from 1 species